AUCAUUGGCCACCAGGAAAAACACGCCCUUCGCAGUGCAGCGAUCGCUGUAAUACACCAACGGUUGGCUACGAUCGCACACGAUCUAGGAAAACAAUUGGAUGGAAUCGUGGAGCUAGAACAACUGGCACCGAAGACCGCGGAACAACACUAUCCGAACUAUCCCAAACAGAACAGAGAUCAAAACAUUCUUUGUCAGGAAAGGUGGUUUCCGCUGCGUAAAAUACUUACAUCAAACUUAAGGAAUCGUACGAAAGUACCUCGCGUAGAAUUAACGACCAAGGAAAGCACUGGUCUGCAGCGAUUUGUUUACAUUCUCAUCGGCAUUUCCAUCUAACUGUCACUUGGUUGACUGCUCGGAAAAUGGACAGCAG